UACAUGGGGUGCAAACGUUGCUCGGAAUUAUUGGGCGUAAAGCGCGCGUAGGCGGUUGCCUAAGUCGGACGUGAAAGCCCUCGGCUUAACCGAGGAAGUGCAUCCGAAACUGAGCAGCUAGAGUACGAAAGAGGGUCGCGGAAUUCCCGGUGUAGAGGUGAAAUUCGUAGAUAUCGGGAGGAACACCGGCGGCGAAGGCGGCGACCUGGGUCGAGACUGACGCUGAGGCGCGAAAGCUAGGGGAGCAAACGGG
rnacentral:rRNA from 1 species